UACGUAGGGGGCUAGCGUUGUCCGGAAUCAUUGGGCGUAAAGAGUGUGUAGGCGGUCCGGUAAGUCCGCUGUGAAAGUCGGGGGCUCAACCCUCGAAUGCCGGUGGAUACUGUCGGGCUAGAGUGCGGAAGAGGCGAGUGGAAUUCCUGGUGUAGCGGUGAAAUGCGCAGAUAUCAGGAGGAACACCGAUGGCGAAGGCAGGUCUCUGGGCCAUAACUGACGCUGAGAAGCGAAAGCAUGGGGAGCGAACAGG
rnacentral:rRNA from 1 species